rnacentral:rRNA from 1 species
UUAAAUUUAGCUUACUUUUAUAUUUUGAUAAGUAGUUUUUUUUAUUUAAAUUAUUUUUAAAAAUUUAAGUUUGUGUAUAGAAUAUAGAAAAAAUUUUUUUUGUGGUAGGUUAAUUGUAUUGUGAAAGGUUGUUUGAAAUAGUUUGAAAAUAUAUUAUCGAAAAAGUAAAUAUUUAAUUGUACCUUGUGUAUCAGGGUUUAUUAAAAAAAGUUUAAAUAUUUGUAUUUUCCCGAUUUGAAGAGAGCUAAAUAAGUAUAUUAGUUAAUGUAGAAUAAUUAUUGAAAAUACUUAUUUAGAAAUGAAAUGUUAUUCGUUCUUUAAGAUAUCUGGUUUCUCAAGAAAUGAAUUUAAUUCAGCUUUCUUUUAGUUUAUUUUAUUUAUUUUAAUUGAGUAUUGAUUGAAAGUAAUAUCUUGGGGGAUAAGCUCCAGGAUAGGUUUUAUAAUUAUUGAUGGUUUUAAAAAUUUUGUAGGCUUAGAAUUAGCCAUCUAUUAAAGGAUGUUAUAAUUUAAUUUUUUGACGAAUUAAAUUUUUUAUAAAUUUAAGUUUUAUAUUGAGAUUAUUUAAUUAAUUUUUAGUUAUUAGUGAUAAUGAUAAAAUUAGUAUAUAAAAUUGUUUGUAAUUAUUAAAAGAUUGUAUAGGUUACAUUAAGGAAUUAGGCAAAUUAGUGCUCGCCUGUUUAACAAAAACAUGUCUUCUUGAUUAUAAUUUGAAGUCUGACCUGCCCACUGAAUUUAAAUUUGAAGGGCCGCGGUAUUUUGACCGUGCAAAGGUAGCAUAAUCAUUAGUCUUUUAAUUGAAGGCUAGAAUGAAUGGUUGGACGAGGUACUGACUGUCUCAGUGUAAAUGGAAUUAGAAUUUAACUUUUAAGUUAAAAGGCUUAAAUAUAUUUAGAGGACGAGAAGACCCUAUAGAGCUUUAUAUUUAAAAUUUAUUAUUUGUUUGGUUGUAUUUUUAUAAUAUUUAAAUAAAUAUUUUGUUGGGGUGACAAGAAGAUAAAUAAAACUCUUUUUAGUUUAAUUACAUUGAUUUAUGAAUUGUUGAUCCAUUAAUAUUGAUUAUAAGACUAAGUUACCUUAGGGAUAACAGCGUAAUCUUUUUCGAGAGUUCUUAUCGACAAAAAGGGUUGCGACCUCGAUGUUGGAUUAAGGGUAAUUUUGGGUGUAGAUGUUCAAAGUUUAGGUCUGUUCGACCUUUAAAUCCUUACAUGAUCUGAGUUCAGACCGGUGUAAGCCAGGUCGGUUUCUAUCCUUAAUUAGAUAGUGAUAUUUUAGUACGAAAGGACCAAGUAUUGGGAAAAUUUUUUCUUGUUUAGUGAUUUAUAUUAACUUAUUUU